GCCCAUCUUAUGUUUUCCUCAGUUUCUUCGUCAUCUGUGAGAUCGGUUCGCUCGGCAGAGUUAGCUUCGGCUCGGGUAUGCCCGCCUUGCGGAUUAUCCGGCUCGUCCGUCAGGUCCACUGCGUCUGGCUCGGUGGGAUCAUCUUGAUUCUCGCGUCGGGCAGGAUCGGUUCGGGUUGCGACUCUGGUGUUGUCGGUUGGCGUUGCGAACGUGAGCCUUGUUGGGUUGAUGCCAGGCAAGUCCCUCUGGGCUCGUAGCGGCCGAGUCUGGAAACGCGUGGUUUUUUGUUGCCCACGGGAUGCAAUUUCGUCGAUUUGCU
rnacentral:lncRNA from 1 species